rnacentral:rRNA from 1 species
AGCGAACGCUGGCGGCAGGCCUAACACAUGCAAGUCGAACGAAGUCUUCGGACUUAGUGGCGGACGGGUGAGUAACACGUGGGAACGUGCCUUUAGGUUCGGAAUAACUCAGGGAAACUUGUGCUAAUACCGAAUGUGCCCUUCGGGGGAAAGAUUUAUCGCCUUUAGAGCGGCCCGCGUCUGAGUAGCUAGUUGGUGAGGUAAAGGCUCACCAAGGCUACGAUCUAUAGCUGGUCUGAGAGGAUGAUCAGCCACACUGGGACUGAGACACGGCCCAGACUCCUACGGNNNGCAGCAGUGGNGANNCUUGCGCAAUGGGCGAAAGCCUGACGCGGCCAUGCCGNGUGAAUGAUGAAGGUCUUNGGAUUGUAAANNUCUUUUACCNNNGANGAUAAUGACNGUNCCUGGAGAAAAAGCCCCGGCUAACUUNGUGCCAGCAGCCGCCGUAACA